rnacentral:rRNA from 1 species
GACGAACGCUGGCGGCGUGCUUAACACAUGCAAGUCGAACGGAAAGGCCUCUUUCGGGGGGUACUCGAGUGGCGAACGGGUGAGUAACACGUGAGUAACCUGCCCUUGACUUUGGGAUAACUUCCGUAAACUGGGGCUAAUACCGGAUAGGAGCUCCUGCUGCAUGGUGGGGGUUGGAAAGUUUCGGCGGUUGGGGAUGGACUCGCGGCUUAUCAGCUUGUUGUUGGGGUAGUGGCUUACCAAGGCUUUGACGGGUAGCCGGCCUGGGGGGGUGACCGGCCACAGUGGGACUGAGGUACGGCCCAGUCUCCUACGGGAGGCAGCAGUGGGGAAUAUUGCACAAUGGGUGGAAGCCUGAUGCAGCAACGCCGUGUGCGGGAUGACGGCCUUCGGGUUGUAAACCGCUUUCGCUCAUGACGAAGCUUUGUGUGACGGUAGUGGGUAAAGAAGCACCGGCUAACUACGUG